rfam:Loktanella vestfoldensis strain SMR4r, complete genome.
GAGUAAGGCGGCUAGGGUUCCGGCAUGGCAACAUGCGCUUGGACCAAGAGCAGCACCUGAGGGGCAGACAGAUCCUUCAGGCACACGGCGGGAUAAAAGCCCGGGAGAC